GGUUGUAGCUGGUUCUUCGGAGC
rnacentral:rRNA from 1 species